rnacentral:rRNA from 1 species
CCUACGGGAGGCUGCAGUGGGGAAUUUUGGACAAUGGGGGCAACCCUGAUCCAGCCAUGCCGCGUGAGUGAAGAAGGCCUUCGGGUUGUAAAGCUCUUUCGGCCGGGAAGAAAUCGCUCAAGCUAAUACCUUGGGUGGAUGACGGUACCGGAAGAAGAAGCACCGGCUAACUACGUGCCAGCAGCCGCGGUAAUACGUAGGGUGCUUACGUUAAUCGGAAUUACUGGGGGCGAAGCGUGCAGAGGGAUGUGAAAUCCCCGGGCUUAACCUGGGAACUGCGUUUGUGACUGUGGUGCUCGAGUGCGGCAGAGGGGGGUGGAAUUCCACGUGUAGCAGUGAAAUGCGUAGAGAUGUGGAGGAACACCGAUGGCGAAGGCAGCCCCCUGGGUCGACACUGACGCUCAUGCACGAAAGCGUGGGGAGCAAACAGGAUUAGAUACCCGGGUAGUC